CAGCAGCCGCGGUAAAACGGAGGGUGCGAGCGUUAAUCGGAAUAACUGGGCGUAAAGGGCACGCAGGCGGUGACUUAAGUCUGAUGUGAAAUCCCGGGGCUCAACCUCGGAACUGCCUUUGAUACUGGCGACCUUGAGUAUGGGAGAGGUAAGUGGAACUCCGAGUGUAGAGGUGAAAUUCGUAGAUAUUCGGAAGAACACCAGUGGCGAAGGCGACUUACUGGCCCAUUACUGACGCUGAGGCUCGAAAGCGUGGGGAGCAAACAGGAUUAGAUACCCCUGUAGUCCCUGUCUCUUAUAC
rnacentral:rRNA from 1 species